CUCUAGCCCCCACCCACCAAGUUAUCCAUGAAAACCCUAACCUGAGCUUUAUGGGAGACAGACUGGAGAAUUAACUUCCAUCCUGCCACUUGGCCAGCCCUGUAAUUAUUAAACUUUCUUUGCUUCAAAACCCUGCCAUUCUUGAUAUACUGGCUUACUUACUCAGUGAGCCAGAGUAAGACUGGGGCUGCCUCCCUCCUAAGAAGAGCUUCUGCUGAUGAAAGGCACCUAUGGGACUUCUCCCUCCAAUUUCUCGCUCACUGGCUUCAAAGACGACUCUCAAUGUCAUCGAGAUUAAACCAGCUCUUAGGGAAGCAAUGUAAUGCCAUAAUUAAGACCACACCAUCAGAGUCCAAGACUGGCAUCCAAAUCCCAGUUCUGCCACUUACAAGCCAUGUGACUUUGGUCAAGGUAUUUACCUUCUCAUCUGUAAAAUGGGAAUCACAGUAGUACAUAACUCAUA
rnacentral:lncRNA from 1 species